CGUAAAGAACUUGCCUCACAGAUAGGGACAACAUUUGGAAACGAAUGCUAAUACCUGAUAUUAUGAUUUUAGGGCAUCCUAGGAUUAUGAAAGCUAUAUGCGCUGUGAGAGAGCUUUGCGUCCCAUUAGCUAGUUGGAGAGGUAACGGCUCACCAAGGCGAUGAUGGGCAGCCGGCCUGAGAGGGUGAUCGGCCACAAGGGGACUGAGACACGGCCCUU
rnacentral:rRNA from 1 species